rnacentral:lncRNA from 1 species
UUAAAGUGGUCUUGUUGGGGAUUGUGUAGAUAAAAGAGAGAUGUUAUAAUAACACAGAGAACCAAGAAUUAGAUCAUAAAAAGAAAAUCCUAACCUGGGGUGAAUUCAUUUGACCAGGGGAUCCAUCAUUUCUUGUGGUUUGACCAUCUUUCAUACUUAGACUGCCUCUAGAUAAUCCAACAAGCCCAUAAUUUGGUGAAGUUACAAUAUUACCUUGGGCCUGGGCAUGUUUCAAGGCAAAUAGAACUGAUGUUGAUUCUGCAUAUUGAGCUUUUGUACUUGCAAACCCAUAUUAGGGUCAGUAUCACCUUGAUUCAAUCCUGAAAUGACGGGGAUGCGAAUAAUGAAAAUUCAUUUGUACCAUCUAAUAC